rnacentral:rRNA from 1 species
UACGUAGGUGGCAAGCGAUACUCGGAAUCACUAGGCGUAAAGCGCAGGUAGGCGGUUUGAUAAGUCUGUUGUGAAAGCUCCCGGCUUAACUGGGAGAGGUCAACGGAAACUGUCAGGCUAGAGUGUGGUAGAGGUAGCUGGAAUUCCCGGUGUAGCGGUGAAAUGCGUAGAUAUCGGGAGGAAUACCUAUGGCGAAAGCAGGCUACUGGACCAUCACUGACGCUGAUCUGCGAAAGCUAGGGGAGCAAACGGG